GUCCACAGCCAUACCACAUGGAACAUGCCCAAUCUCAUCCGAUCUUGGAAGAAUCAGUGGUAUAGAGCCUGUAUGAGCAGUUUUUAACU
rnacentral:rRNA from 1 species